GACGAACGCUGGCGGCGUGCUUAACACAUGCAUCGACGUAAGGUGGCGAACGGGUGAGUAACGCGUAAAGAACUUGCCUCACAGAUAGGGACAACAUUUGGGAAAGAAUGAUAAUACCUGAUACUGUGAGAGAGCUUUGCGUCCCAGUAGCUAGUUGGAGAGGUAGCGGCUCAGCAAGGCGAGGAUGGGUAGCCGGCCUGAGAGGGUGAUCGUCCACAAGUGGACUGGGACACGGCACUUACGCCUACGGGAGGCAGGAGUGGGGAAUAUUGAAGAAUGGACCAAAGUCUGAGCCAGCCAUUCUGUGUGCACGAUGAAGUUUUCGGAAUGAAAAGUGCUUUCAGUUACGAAGCAGUACCAACAGAAGAAGUGACGGCUAAAUACGUGCCAGCAGCCGCGGUAAUAC
rnacentral:rRNA from 1 species